AGGCGCCAAUAAUUAUUUUAUUUUAUUACUAGGUUAAAGUGUAAACAAGUUUACUAAGAAUACAAUCUUGUUGAUUAGCAUGAAAUUUUGUUUUAAAAACUAACGAAAAAUCAGUGGAUUGUUCUAGUGGAUGUCUAGUUCAAAAAUUCCAUAUGAUUAAAACGGAAUUUUGUAGAAGAAAAUGAGGUGGGAAAAGCAUUGAUGAUAUCGAUUCAGUUCUCUAAUAUUACUGUGUUUAUAAAUAGAAUUAAAUAUAAUUACAAAAUGGUAUAAAAACAUCGAAAAAGCUGCAUUAGUUUUCUAGUAAUGCUUUCAUGAUCAUUAGAAUGAAAUUUUGUUUAGAGAAUGACAUAAAGAGGUUGAAAAAUCAUUGAAUUCAUUGGAUGGAUACGGAUAUUCCAUCUCUACAUUGGCAAAAACGCAAUAAAAAUUUUCAAUUUCCAAAUUUCAUCCUUAAAAAAAUCUGGUGUAUAACUAUAGCGCAAUGAAAAAUUAAUCAUGAUUUUAUGGCAAAAAACAACGAGAAACGAGACAAAAUAAUAACAUGAAAAUAUCGCGACCUGCCAAAAAGGUGCACUCGCUAUAAUUUAUGGCACAAACCCAAAAUUUCACGUUACCUGAUAGGUCAGUUUCUUCAAACAAUACGAAAUAAUUAAGUCGUCAAAGCCUGAGGUCUUGAUAGGAAAAAUGGAAAAGAAACCCAUCAAAAACAAUUUUUUCCCAACACAAUUAGAAGUUUCGUGUUCGUGUUCGUUCCAGAGGAAUUUACUAUCUAGGAAUAUUGAAGGAGUAGACAAUUUCUCACGACAAUUAAAUGAAGUAUGAUCAAUUGGCCUUCGUCUGUGUUAUAAACAAAAUAAAGCUCAUCGGCCGGCAAGUCUAGGAAGACGAGGAGAACCAUCACAAGCACACAUACCCAUACACAUACAAAUUCAAUUUUGUAGAUAGCGAAGAAGAAAUAUGGUCACGUUCUAAUCCCAAAGAAAAUAUUUGUCUGGUAUAUUAGUAAGAAAGAAGCAGAGAGCACCUUUAAAAUUCCGAAAAAAAAUUUGUUUGCCUUCAUUCAAGAUGCGUGAGAACUAAAGUAAGGUGUGGCGUUUACUGUACUUUUGACAUUGUUUUUAUUCCGUUUUCAUUCAGUAGUGACAUUCAGGACAAUAUUUUUAUGAAAAAAUAUUAUAUGAAUUUUAUACCGGGCUCAAUCAAAAUACAAAUAAAUACCAAUUUU